AGUCCCCGCCCACGCCGUGUCCUCACUCAGUACAUGAAAUCUUGGUCUUCAUGUUCCCCCCACACACAUCCCGCUAGCGCCGGGGCUGCCGCCUCCCGCCCCUGGCCAUGACAUUCGGCCGACUCCAUUCCUCGCACAAGACUCACAUCCGAGCCAUUCUCAUCCUCCGGCAGUGAGGCCCUGCCGUCGCCAGGCCUUCCAUUCGCGGUCACCUUGUGGGCGAGGCCCCUGGGCCCCGGGCUGCGGGAGGGGACGACCCCGUUGUGUGACACCUCGUGCUGUUCUGUCCCCAAACCUGUUCCCCCGGCCGUACCUGCCAGAGUGUGCCUACAUUCCCGAUAUCCCACUGGAAAGUGAGCUGCUAGGACGUAGACGGCAUCCGUUCCGUCGCCGAAUGCCUAGUGGGCGGCGACUUGAGGGAAGAAAGACCGGGAGGGAGACGCCGGGCGACCGCGAAGGGAGAGGAAGCUGGACUUAGGAUCCAUUUCUGCCUGUCUCCAAAGCCCUGCCUAUACCAAACAUCAGGCCACAGCCCUGUCUCCGUGCUGACUGCCUUUCUGCACUUCCUGCAGCCACCCUCAUGUCUGGACUUCUGGGUUUGUGUUCUUUGUCUGGGGCUGUUGAUGGACCACCAGGAGGUCCCUGGGUAUCCUUUCAGUGUUUCCCAGGCACUAGAGGAUGACUUGGGAUGGCAUCCCAGUUCUGACACGUACUUAGAAAAUUCUGCACAGGCAGCAGCAGGUAGGCACCGAUGUUGAAAUGAAUUCUUUCCAAGCUGACGGCCAAGAAGGAAUUCUUGAGAUGUUUUUGGUGCAAAAAAAAAGUGGUUUUGUUAAAGCAUGGGAACAGAACCUGUGGGCAGAAAGCACUGCACUGAGAUUAUGAAGACUGACUACUAGAAGGUUUUCCAUCCUGUAGAGGGGAGGGUGACCUUAAGGCUCCAGGAAAUUGAGCCUAUAGGUUCCUGGAGGUCUAUUGUUAACAUGGUGUUUUUCUUGUAAAUCAUUAAGACAGUCAGAAACUGGGCGCCUGGGUGGCUCAGUUGUUUGAGUGCCUGGCUCUUGAUUUUGGCUCAGGUCGUGAUGCCAGGGUCAUGGGAUUGAUCCCUGCCUCGGGGUGCUGGCUGAGCAUGGAGCCUGCUUAAGAUUCUCUCUCCCUCUGCCCCUGUCCCCUGCUCACGCUCUCUUUCUUAAAAAACAAACAAACAAAAAAGACAGUUACAAACCCUAGUGGAAGUUUCAUACCCAACAUGACUGUAAAUGAUGUUAUCUGCAUUUCCUUUUGCUUUUGUUUUCCACAUCAACUAACUAUUUCUUUUCUCCCUGCCUCUGUUCUCAGGCAGUCACCAGUACCUGAGGAAGAGUCUACACAUCCCACCCUAACUGGGGGAUGUUUGUAGCGUGUCUGCUCAGCGUAACUCCUCUCGCAUUCUGUACAAUGCAGUUUCCCAGAGUCUAGAUUAGAAAAGUGAAUACAGUGGGGCGCCUGGGUGGCUCAGUUGGUUAAGUGUCUGACUUCAGCCUAGGUCAUGAUCUUGCUGUUCCCGAGUUUGAGCCCCAUGUCCAGCUCUGUGCUGACAGCUCAGAGUCUGGAGCCUAUUUCAGAUUCUGUGUCUUCCUCUCUCUCUACCCCUCCCCAACUCAUGUUCAGUUUCUCUCUCUCAAAAGUAAAUAAACAUUAAAAAAAUGAAUGCAGGUGCAACAGAAAUUAGCAUUAAACUUUUUACCCCCCUCCUUUUUUUUUGUUGUUUUUUUUUGUUUUUUGUUUUUUGUUUUUGUUUUUUGCUUCAGCUAUACAGUUUCUUGCAAGGUAAGAAAGAAAUGCAAAGCCGUGUUAGGACAUAGGUUGUCAUGUGUUUUUGUCUUGAGCAAUGUAAAGUUAAAUUACUUACCUAAAAUAUUUUACAUGAGGGAAAGUUAAACACAGAAUAUCAGCCAUCAUGUUAAAUAAAAUAUGAGAUAGGACUAAAUAACAUUUUACAGAGACCUGGUUUACUCUUUAGAAGAGAAACACACUUCUACAAUGUAGAGAGUAACGACAUGCAGGAGGUUUUCCUAGUUCACCUUUUACCUUGCACUGAACCUGUAUUACAUCAUUUUGCUUUAAAAAAAUGGAAAUGGACUAGGUUAGGUAAUUAUUAAUUGGCAACAUGAUACUGAUAUAAAACUGCUUUUGGCCAGAGAUAUGAUAAUGGUCAAUUUUGGCAACCUAGAUAAAGGGAGAAGUUAUUAUGUCCCCUUCCCAAAAUCAUUGUGCCAAUCUGUGUUCAGCUCACGAUCUCAAGUAUUUAAAACUUCCGUUUCUAUAAAUAUAAAUAGAAUAACCUUUUAAAAUAGGGUACAAAGUAUAAAUCCAUUUUUUUCUAAUUCAGCAAGCACAUGGGAUAUUCUCAUUUCUUUUCAGAAGACUACCUGUAGACACACAGAUAGACACGGGGCACCAAGUCUGAAUGCUACCGGAACAAUUUCCUCACAAAUUAACAUUUUACCAAGUACUAAUACACAUAAUGUCAAAA